UCAACCUAUAAUCAAUGUAAAAAAUGAUUGAACUAUUAUUAUACAUUCUUCUUUUCAUACUGUCUUUAAAAUCUAGUGACUUUUUUCCACUUACAGCACAUCUUAAUUUGGACUAGCCACAUUUCAAGUGUCCGAUAGCAACAUGUGGCAAGUGGCUUUAACACAAGUCAAAAGCAAUGUGCCCUGGCCCCCAAUCUAGAAGGUUGGAGGCACUCCUUACCCCAGCCUCUGGGCUGGUGGAACACUGUGAGGGCAGUUUCCAAAACCCCAAAGGAGUUAAACCUCCUCUGAAUGAUGAGGGAACAUCGUAGGCUCCAAUUUGAAGUUUAAUAGUGAUAAUGUCUGAUCUGUAUAUAGCACUUUCUGUUCUAAGUGCUUUACAUAUGUUAAAUCAUUUAAUCUUUUUUUUUUUUUUUAAUAGAGACAGGGUCUCACUAUUUUGGCCAUGCUGGUCUCGAACUUCUGGCCUCAAGCAAUCCUCCUGCCUUGGCCUCCCAAAGCACUGGAAUUAUAGAUGAAAAAUUAUCUGCUUUUAAAGGGCUCCCCGAUUGAGUUAUGCUCACUUGGAUAGUUUUACAGUCAACUGGGACUUCAAUUAUAUCUGCAAAAUCCACUCAUAGUAAUGCCUAGAUUAGAGCUUUAAUUAAUAACCAGGAGAUAAGAAUCUUAAGAAUUCUGCCUAGAGUUUUUCAUCAAAAAUGUUAAGUCAACUUUCCACAGAUAUAUAACCUAUGUUCAGAAAAGCACCCAAAUCACAUCUGAAUAGAUUAAUUUUCACACAGUAAACACACCCAUAUUAACUCCUACCUAGAUCAAGACUUUUAAAAGUUCUUUAUAAAUUCUUUGGUAGGCUGCCUCUGAUGGCCCACCAAUUACCCUGCUUCCUGGUAUUUAUGCUAUCUGCAGUCCCUUACCCUUGAGUGUGCACUGGAUUUACUGAUUCGCUUCUAAUGAAUAGAAUGUGGCAGAAGUAAUGAGAUGUCACUUUCAAGGUUAAAUUAUAAAAAGACUGUGGCUUGGGUGCUCAUUCUAUCUCAGGUUGCUUGACAUGAGGGAAAUCAGCUGCCAUGUCAUGAGGCAGCCCUGCGAAGAGACCCAUGUGACAAGGGACCAAGGUCUGCCUACAACUACAUGAGGAAGCUUGAAAGUGGAUCCCUCGCUUGGGUCUUCAGAUGAACCCACUGCCCUAUAGCUGGCAGCUUAACUACAACCUCAUGAGAGAUCUUGUGCCAGAAGUACCCAGCUAAGUUGUACCGAGAUUCCUGACCCACCAAGAUUAUGAGAUCACUGUUUUGGGGGUAAUUUGUUAUGUAGCAACACCUAACUACUAUUGAAUUCUAGAUUCAAAUCCUUUAUCAACUACAGCUAUUGUAAAUAUGCUGUACUACUCUGUGGCUUGCUUUAUCACUCUCUUGAUAGUGUCUUUUAUGAAUAGAAGUUCCUAAUUUUAACAUUCAAUUUAACUACCUUUUUCUUUAUUAUUCUUAGUGCUUCGAUUUUGUUUUAGUAAUCUUUGCCUACUCCAAAAAGGGAGCUUUUCUAUAUUCACAUUUAGUGCUUGCCUCGGCAGCACAUAUACUAAAAUUCUAAAUUCACAUUUAUAUAUAAAAUCCAUUUGGAAUUGAUUUUUGUGUAUUGUUUAAGGUAGGAAUCAAUGUAAUCAAUUUUUUCAUUAUUGAAAUCUGAUUGACUCUCCAUUUAUUGCAAAGGCAACUCUUUCUUUGUUGCACAGAAAUUUCAUAUUUGUCAUAAGUGACUAAAUAUGUGUGGGUUUUUUUCCCCUGAACGUCUUUCUAUUCCAUUGGUCUAUUUGUCCUCCUUGCAACAAUAUUAUACUAAGUGAUUGCAGUUUUACUGUAAGUCUUGAUAUCCGAUAAUGUAAAUCUUUUAAUUUUGUUCUUCUUUUAAGAUUGUCCUAGCUAUUCUUGGUCUUUGCAUGCCUAUAUAAACUUUAGAAACAGUUUCUCAAUUUCUUCAUAAACAUAUCCAAAUAAAAACCUACAGUUAUUUUGAUUGGGUUGCAUUGAAACUACAGAUAAAUUUAGGGAUAAAUGACAUCUUUCCAAUACUGAAUAUUCUUGGUUUAUUAACAUGGUAUGCCUUUCCAUUUAUUUUACUUUUCUUCAUCUGAAUAAUAUUUUGUAGUUUUCAGUGGAGAGGUUUUGCAUAUAUUUCAUUAGAUUUAUUCCUAGAUUUUUGAUAGUUUUGAUCCUUCUGUAAAUGAUAUCAUUAAAACAUUUUCUAUUAGUUUGUUGUUGGAAUGUAGGCAUAAAGUUGAUUUUCUUUAUAUUGACUGAGUAUUCAGCAAUCUUAUUAAAUUCAUCUAUUUAUCCUAACAGGUUAUUUGCUUAUUCUUUAAAAUUUUCUAUGUACAUAAUCAUGUCACCUGCUAAUGAUGAAAGUUUUAUUUCUUCCAUUCCAAUCUUCAUUCUGUCUAUCUAUCUAUCUAUCUAUCUAUCUAUCUAUCUAUCUAUCUAUAUUGGUCUGGCUAAGACCUUCAAAGCAAUAUAGUACAUGACCAGGCACAGUGGCUAAUGCCUGUAAUCCCAGCACUUUGGAAGGCUGAGGUGGGAGGAUCUCUUGAGCCCAGGAGUUCAAGACCAGCCUGGGCAACAUGGAGAGACCCCAUCUCUAUACAAAGUUUUAAAAAUUAGCUGGGUGUGGUGGUGCACAUUAAGGGUCUCUCCUAUCCCUUUUUUUUUUUUUCUUUUAACAGUACUUUGAGUUGCUGUUUUAUCUCAUUCUUUUUUUUUUUUUUUUUUUUUUGAGAUGGAGUUUCACUCUUCUUGCCCAGGCUGGAGUACAAUGGCGUGAUCUCGGCUCACCGCAACCUCCGCCUCCCAGGUUCAAGUGAUUCUCCUACCUCAGCCUCCCCAGUAGCUGGGAUUAGAAGCAUGCUCCACCACGCCCAGCUAAUUUUAUAUUUUUUUAGUAGAGAUGGGGUUUCUCCAUGUUGGUCAGGCUGGUCUCAAACUCCUGACCUCAAGUGAUCUGCCCUCCUCAGCCUCCCAAAGCACUGGGAUUACAAGCGUGAGCCACCACGCCUGGCUUUUAUCUCUUAUCUUAAUAAGCUAAGAGUUCUUACUACAAAUGACUAUUAAAUUUUAUCAAAAAAUGUUUUGUAUCUGUGGAGAUUGUCCCACAGUUUUUCCUCAUUUAUUUUAUUAAGUGGAAAACACUGAUUUUCAAAUGUUAAAUGAAUCUUGCAUUCCUGGAAUAAACUCCUUUUAUGAAGAGGUCUUAUUCCUUUCAUAUUUCACUGGAUUCAAUUAGCUAAUUAUUUUCUUCAGGGUUUUUAUGAUAGAGACUAGCAUGUAAUUUUCCUUUCUUUUAAUGUCCUUACAUUUUGGCAUCAAGGUUAUGCUAAACUCAUAAAAUGAGUUGGAAAGUGUUCCCUCUUUUUCUACUUUCCAGAAGUGUUUGGAGAAGAAAGGUGUAUUUCUUCCUCAAUUGUUUAAAAUGAUUCACUAAUCUGGCCCUCAAGAUUUUUUUUUUGUAAGAAGGUUUCUUUUUUAUCACAAAUUCAAUUUCUUUAAUAAAUAGAAAGUCUUGUUAGUCCUAUUUACUUUCUGUGUCAGUUCUGGCAAUUUUUUUUUUUAAGGAAGUUGUUUCAGUAACUUUGGAGUUAUUUAUAAUAUCCUUUUUUAUCUUUCUAAUGUAAGAUCUGUAGCAAUAUCUUACAAACAUAAGAUCUGUAGGAAUAUCUCAUUUUUCAUUUCUGAUACAGGUGUUUUGUAGACAAUAUUUUUCAUAAUCUAUUAUUGGAUCAACUGAUGAAUGGAUAAAAUGUGGUAUAUCCAUAGAAUGGAAUAUUAUUUGGUCAUAAAAAGGAAUAAAGGAUUGAUACAACAUGGAUACAUCUUGAAAACAUUAUACUAGAAGAAGCCAGUCACGAAGGACCACAUAAUGUAUGAUUCCAUCUAUCUGAAAUGUCCAAAAUAGGCAAAUCUAUAGAGACAGCAGAUUAGUGGUUGCCUAGGGAUGGUAGGUUUGGGAGAUGGGAAGGAGUGGGUGUGAGUGCCAAUGAGUAUGGGGUUUAUUUGGGGGAUACUGAAAAUGUUCUAAAAUUGAUAGUGGUGAUGGUUGUACAACUCUGUGAAUAUAUGAAAAACUACCAAAUUUUAUGGCAUGUGAAUUAUAUCUCCAUAAAGCUGCUUAAACAAAUCUAUCAUUGGACAGAUUAGAUCCUCCUUCAGUUUUGUUCAAAACAAGUUGGAAACUACCUAACUUAUAAAAGGUGUUAAUCAUUCAUUUUUUUUCAACCUCAAUAUCAAUAUUCCAAUUAUCCCUUUCACUGGUAUCCCAGAGGCUUUUCAUUCUGGAACAAUGCACAAUACUACAGCAAAACACUUUGAUUGCAAUAAUUCUCAGGAAGAUAAACUCUACGAAAUAUUUCAUAUGAGAAUAUGCCUGUGUAUCCUUAGAAAAGUCUUUACAUAUCUCCAGGGAUACUAUUACCUAGCCUGAAGGCCACUCUACUAGGCUAUACUGCCUCUCGGUAUAGGCAUGCUGGGGAGGAUUGUGCCCUGUUAUCUGCUAGCUGUGUGAAAAUGUAUUCCAUGGGAAGGCCCUUUGUAAGCCAGUUGGGAUCAGCAUUUGAGUUGCUGACCCAGACAUGGGUACUUCUAAGGUACCCAUGUCUGGGUCAACAACCGUAAUCCCAGCACUUUAGAAGGCCGAGUGACAAGGUCAUUUCCAGCCCAGGAUGUGUCAAGAGAUAUAGUCAGACAAGCCUAUGACAUCUGGAAGCCAUAACAAUGUAGAAAACAACCCAGAUAACCUUGGUUUCAUUUGGUGACAGUGAACUAAACAUUGUGUAGUUCUCUACCUGAGGCUGCCUGAAUGAUUUCUGGCAAUUAAAGGUAGAUUUAUAUAGCUGGACAACUUGAUCCCUUGUCUUUCCCCUUUUACUUUUUCGUGGCUGCAUUUCAUCUUUGUACCUUCGAUGUCUGCUGGGUGUAUAAUUAGCAUCCUGACAUCUGAGCAGCAGUGCUUCUCAGCUAGCUUUAUUUAGGGGUGGAAAUAUUUUUUGCUUUGGAUAAACUGAGGUACUGCUUCCCCCCAAAAAACUUCCUUGUUAUACUGGAUAUGACAGCCUUUUAACCCUUGAAACAUAUCAAGGACACAGAAAUAUCUGUGUCUAGAUUGCAGUUGGAGUUACCCUGUCCUUUAAGAUAUACAUGAAAUUGGCUCAACCCCUGUCACUCUCAUUCCAUGGGCUAUGUUAAGGUCAAUGUCCUCUUCACAAUUUUCUGAAAAUAACUGGGAAACAUUGGUUCAUGUAAUCACCUCUGACUUCAGCUCCUGUGAACUGUAUUAGUUUGGGGAUUGUCUCACUCUCUUCCCUGCUGUCCUUUCUCCCCCCAGGUCAACCUAGUCAUGGAAUUUAGAACUUGUUCUCUUUUGGUGGUGUGCAGGGCUGGGGAGGGAUCCCCAAGUCAUAUGUGUCUAGCAGACUUCAAAGAAAGUUAGGUAGAAAGUAGAGAUUUAAUUCCAAGCAAUGCAGGCAACAUAAAAUUGAGUAUCAGAUAUCUGUGUUCUUAAAAGUUUUCCCAUUUUUCCUACCUGCAUAGGGCUCCAGACUCCUGCCUGGGGCUUGGCUGUCUCCUCUCUGUUCUGAUUCCCCUAUACAUUGCAAAAGCUAACAUCCCAACUUUUUAGGCAGAGUAAAUCUUUUUUCCAAUCAUUCCCAUGGGUCUAGGUUUCUGUCUGCAUAUCAUAUGACACAAAACUAAAGCUUUAAAAUUAGUACUUAAAAGGAUUCACCCCAUUAAAGUCACAGACAACCAUUAUCCUCCUUCCCACUUUUAUUUCAGAGACUAGGGGUGGGUAUUUUGUUUGUUUUUAAUAUUAAUCAGGAAGAAUUCCUAGGAAAACAAAGCACUGCAUAUUAACUGAAUAACAGGAUGACGGGGAAAACUGAACCAGUCAACACUAUUUAUUGAGUGCCUAAUAUGUUCCAGGCACCAAGCUAGGCACAGAGGGAAACAAAAGACACAGUUCUGCUCUUGGGAAGCUUACAAUGCUAAUGGGAAAGAGAAACAUCGCUCACAGAAGCAAAAUGAAAAUAGUAAGUGCCAAGCACCAGGAAGGUCAGAUGCAGGUGCUAUAAGAGUAAUAUGCGGCCGGGCGCAGUGGACCAUGCCUGUGUUCCCAGCACUUUGGGAGGCUGAGGCAGGCGGAUCACAAGGUCAGGAGAUCAAGAACAUCUUGGCCAACAUGGUGAAACCCCGUCUCUACCAAAAAUACAAAAAUUAGUUGGGCGUGGUAGUGCACACCUAUAGUACCAGCUAUAUGGAGGCUGAGGCAGAAGAAUCGCUUGAACCCAGGAGGCGGAGGUUGCAGGGAGCAGAGAUCGCACCAUUGCACUCUAGCCUGGCAACAGAGCGAGACUCCAUCUCAAAAAAAAAAAAAAAAGAGUAAUAUGCUACCUAGUGGGGAGGCCAGGGAAGGUUUCCCUGAGGCUGUGGCUAUAGGGCUGUGAUCUGAAGGCCCAGGAAGGGUUAACUUGGGGAGAGGAGAAAGAGCAUUCCAGGCAGAGGGAGCAGGCCUUGCAAAGGCUUUGCGACAACAGAAAGCCCUGACAAAGGACUGAAAGAAGACCCACGUGGCUAGGGCUGCAGAAGUGUAGAGGAAGAUUAGAUUGGGAAGGUGGGUAAGAAAUGACCAUUAAGUUUCAAGCAGGGGGAACAUGAGACUCAAAUGUGCAUUUUGAAAAAAACAAAACACACAGACUCAGACUGCAGUAUGGAGAAUGGGACUGGAAUGUUACAAAGGCUUGAGAGCAGCUGCUAACUGCCUGUAGCACCCAUGGGGAGACACGCAAUUGUUAAGAUUACUCAGAGCAGCAUCUUAUCUGUGUGUGUGUUUUAAUGUAAUUUUUAAACUAAAUGAAUACACACAAAUGGUUUAAAAUGUAAAAUAGUGCUAAUACUAUUAGGCUUAUAAAAAAUAGCGGUCCCCUGACCAUCUGUCCCCACCCCCUUGACCCUUCUGGCCCCUUCUUCCACUCUUAACUAUUCAUCUGGUAGUCUCUCCUCCCCACCUUCUGCUUUUUAAAAACAUACUAUGCUUAGAGUACUAUUUGUUUUUCACUUUUAGACAUUGUUUACUUCCUACUAAGGAAGAAAAUAAUUUUGCGAUCUUACCCGCCUCCCCGCUCUAUUCUUAUCCUGCCAAGAGGGAACAUUCAGAGCAUUACCAGCGCUUCCUUUUUAGUCUUCCCAUGUAAGAAAAAUACUGACUCAUUCAUUACCUGAAAAAUCCAUCAAUCAGUAAGGACAGAACCAGCACAUUUCACGAUAAAUUUAUACCUUUGUUAGUAAAAAAGUACCUUCACUGUACAUCUAUCAUGGACAUAUUUGAAGCAGUAAGGAUUUUUACCCCUAAAGUAAAAACUACCAAAUUUUUAAGUUGGCAUAAGAGUAUUCAAGGAAAUCACAAUAUGUCCUACUUGCAAGACAUAACAAAGUUAUUUGCACUGGGAGGUGAAAAUAAUCUUCAUAGGACUAAUGUCUUGGGGAAGAAGCGUUAGCAAGGUCAUGAGCUGAUGAUACUCCGUAUCAUCUCCAGAUAGAAUACCAAGACAGGCCACUCCUAUUCACUGCUGCUAGGAGUGUAAAAGAGCAUGGAAACCAGUGGGCAAUUCCUACCCAGAACCUCCAAAAAGAAGUCAGAUUUUCACCCUCAGAGAAAUCAAUUCUAAGGAAGGAAAUACUCAGAGAUACAAGGAUUUAUGCAUAAGAAUAUUCAUGAUAGUAUUAUUUAUAAUAACGGAAAACAAUCUCACUGCCUCCAAAUAAAAAAACGGUUAAGUGAUACUGUAUCUAUAGAAUGCAAUAAUAGAAAAUCAUUAAAUUCAUGCUUUCAGAGAACACUUAAUGCCGUGGGGAAAUCCUCAUAAUAUGCUAAAUGAGAAAAACAGUUGAGGUCAGCCUACAUGUAAAAAUAUACAGGUGUACAUGUGUAUAAUAUACACACAUACCAACAUAGGUAGAAGCACAUACAAAAUAUCUAAACACACGCAAAACUUUUAAAACGCAUAGAAUAGACAGUUUUUUUCUCCCAAUAUGGUCUGCCACUCAUAUACCUCAGAAUCACCUUGGGGGCUUAUUAAAAAUGCAAAUUCUUGGGUAUUACCCCAGACGUUUGAAAACAGAGCCUAAGUCUUUGAAAACAGAGCCUAAGGAUCGCUGUCUACCUACACACCCUGAGUAAUUCUCACCCACCCCUCAGUUUGGGGACCACUGGAUCAGAAAUAACAGCUCUCUGUGGGUGAAGGAAUUACGAAUAAUUGUCUUCUUUUAUUGCAUCUUAAAAAAAUUCUCUACCAAACAUACGCUGCUUUUAUAAUUCAAAGUUCAUUAAAAGUGCAUUAAUGAGGCAUGAGUAUUAAACAGAGCUGAUUUAGGGUCUAUCUGGGCAAGUGUAAACAACUUUGGAGAAUUAGAACAUGCACUUCUUUUUUCUUGCGACGGAGUCUUGCUCUUUCACCCAGGCAGUGCAGUGGUGUGAUCUCGGCUCACUACAACCUCCGCCUCCUAGGUUCAAGCGAUUCUUCUGCCUCAACCUCCCGAGUAGCUGGGAUUAUAGGUGCCCGCCACCAUGCCCAGCUAAUUUUUGUAGAGAUGGGGUUUCACCACGUUGGCCAGGCUGGUCUCAAACUCCUGACCUCAAGUGAUCCGCCCACCUCGGCCUCCCAAAGUGCUGGGAUUACAGGUGAACCAUGGUGCCUGGCCACAAGUGUGCAUUUUUUAAAAUCUAAAAUACAGAAUGAGACUCUGUCUCAAAUAAUAAUAAUAAUAAUAAUAAAAUAAAAUCUAAAAUAAGUAGGUAUGUAUGGAUUCCUUACAAUUGAGUCAGUUUAGGACAAAGGAAGUAAUACAUUAAGUGUAGACAUGGAAAUCAUGAGCUCAAUAAAUUCUGCAGGUAAAAAACAUAAAUAGAAUAAUUUUGCAACGUAUGGAGAAUGGCAUUUCUAAAGUUCCAAGAUCUUCCUUGGCAAAAAGAGGAUUCAGUAAUCAAAUAAAUUUGGGACACAAUACAUAAUAUGGUCACCCUCCCCACUUAAGAGUCAAAUCCUUGGGUAGAUUACAGGUUCCGAGAAGUCCAAUAUAAACUUCUUUCUUAAUUCUAGCUCCACAAAUUCUUAGAAUGUCUCUAUCACUGAAAACAAAUUCUAGCCCAGAAGAGGGUCUAGAAAAAGUUCUCAUCAUGGACUGAUACUCUACACUUGACCCAACAUAUCGUUUCCACAUUCCCAUGGCCUCUGAGGGCUUAGCCCAUAUGUAUUUAUAGAGCCUGAUUCUAAGGGCAUGGCUCAAGUCAGCUACCAAGUAAUGCUCAGGAACAGCAAAAUUCGAGUGCCCAGGAUACAAGAUUAGAACAUGUGAAGCAACUACAGAUUUACUUUUUAUCUACUGGUCUCUUUCACUAGGCUGUGUGCUUAGGGCUGGAAUUUUGCCAUUUGUCUAUUCAUUUAUGUACUACCAACACAAUAAAGUCUGGCACUUACUUAGUACUCAGUGAAUGGGGCACCACCAAAGAGGUGGUGUAAAUUCUUUCCGGUAAGUUCAGUAAUGAAAUGGGCUAGUUUCAUUACCAUGCACCACCACACCUAGCUAAUCUUUGUAAUUUUAGUAGAGACGGGGGUUUAGCCACGUUGCCCAGGCUGGUCUCGAACUCCUGACCUCAAGCAAUCCAUCCACCUUGGCCUCCCCAAGUGCUGGGAUUACAGGUGUGAGCCACUGCCCCUGGCCAAGAUGGAGUCUUGCUAUGUCUCUAUGGACUUGAACCCCUGGACUCAAGUGAUCCUCUCACCUCAGCCUCCUGAGUAGGUGGCACUACAGGCACACACCACUGCACUCAGCUCUAGGUGGACAUUUCUAAGGAUGUGGCAGUGACUAAGACAUAAUAAUCUCUAUCCUCAGGGGCUUCAUGCAUUAGAGAUACUCAUCUGAGCCAUUCUAGUCCUAGAGUCCUAGCCUCUUGCACAAGUUUAGGUACAUUAGAUGUCUAAUUAAUGCUUAUUUGAAUUGAAUUUAGAAACCAUGGCAUGCUUUAUGCAUGAUCAAAAUUUGGCACUUUUUGCGGGCAGAGUCUAUAGUAAGACAGACCAUUCUAGAGACUGCAUCAGAAUGAUCAUAUCUUAAGUAACCAGACCUAUUUUGAUCAUUGUUUUUUGCUUUUUUUUUUUUUUUUUUUUUUGAGAGAGGGUCUUGCUCUGUUGCUCAGGCUGGAGUGCAAUAGCAUGAUCAUGGCUUACUGCAGCCUCAACCGCCCCAGGCUCCCACCUUGGCCUCCUGAGUAGCUGGACCACAGGCACACCACCAUGCCUGGCUAAGUUUUGUAUUUUUUGUAAUGAUGGGGUUUCACCAUGUUGUGCAGGCUGGUCUGGAACUCCUGGGCUCAAGCAAUCCGCCUGCCUUGGCCUCCAAAUGCUGGGAUUACAGGCAUGAGCCACUGCCCCCAGCCAAUCAUCACUACUUUGGAGUCUCCACAACUAGCCAGGAGUCAAAAAAUUUGGCCAGAGAAGCCCCAGAACCCAGAGGAAAUUGAACAUUCUUCUGCAGGACAUUGAUCUGCUGUAGGAACCAGUUCAUGAACCACAUAAUGGAAGACCAGCUCCGUGUGAGAGAGUUCCAUGGUUCGCCAGAUAAAGUCCCGAAGCCCUACAGGGCCAUAGAUUUCAAUAGGCUGUUUGGACACCAUGGAGCCACUCUGCAGGCUGAUUGUGCAGAGGAGCCCAGGAAGGCCAAAGAAAUGGUCUCCAUGAAGGACUCCCUAUACUGGACAGCGAUUAACCAAUCAAGUCACGGCCUGCUUGUCUGGGUGAGGUGGAAGAAGAUGGAGAAAAAGGAAGAACGUACACCUUGCCACCUCAACUCCUACUGUCUAAAAUGUUAACUGUCAAGUCUCUACUCUGGCCUGUGCCUGUCCAGAGGGCUCUCAUGAAGGUUCUCAUGAAAGGAAUCUCUGUACGAUCCAAGAAAAGCAAAGAAUAGCACCUGAAUUAUCUCAAAGUUUCAACACAAGACAGUAUAUAACUACGGUUCAAUUGUACCUACCAUAUGUCCCAAACAAUAUGCAUUAGCUCCUUCCUCCAACAACUCUUUUCCUGACUUCUUCUCUAGGUCCAGGACAUCACCAUCAGUAACUUGUAUUAAUUCUUCACUUCCUCACACACUAGACAUUCAGUGACCAUCUCCUCUUAUUUCUACAAGUAUCUCUUAAAUUGAAUCUCUCAUCUCCAUCUCUAUACUUCAAUAUCCUCAUUCUCUCUCUCUCUCACACACACACACAUAUACACAGUGAUGAUAUGGUUUGUGUCCCCACCCAAAUCUCAUCUUGAACUGUAGCUCCCAUAAUCCCUACAUCAUGGGAGGGACCCGGUGGGAAGUAAUUGAAUCAUGGGAGCAGGUUUUCUCAUGCUGUUCUCGUGACAGUGAAUAAGUCUCACGAGGUCUGAUGGUUUGAUAAAGGGGAGUUCCCCUGCACAUGCUCUCUUGCCUGCCACCAUGUAAGACAUACCUUUGCCUUUGCCUUCCACCAUGAUUGUGGGGCCUCCCCAGCCUUGCGGAACUGCGAUUAGUUCAUUAAACCUCUUUUUUUUUUAAAUAAA